GCUACCAUGGAAUUGGAUUUUCGAUCUUGACCAUCCCAUCGGUCAAAACUUUUUUUGGUUGUUCAUCGUACUAUCGGCUGCGCUGAAUCAUUAGGCCGCGAAUGGCAUUAUCGUAAAUUUAUGACGUAACUGCUAAGCUUCGAUCUACUCUCGCUCGCUCGCUCCCUCCUCAUAUUAACACGAAACAAAAGACUUCCAUGGUUCAACUCUGAAACCUCUCUCCACAUUUCUCUUCUCCAAGCUGCGAUCACCUUGAUAGCUUGGUUGUAACGAUCGAGAUCUCACUUCUCUAACCUCUCAUUUGCCUAAUAAUGCCUCUGCGACUAGAAAUCAAGAGGAAACUCGCUCAAAGAUCGGAAAGGGUAAAAUCUGUGGAUUUGCAUCCAACAGAACCAUGGAUUCUGGCGAGUUUGUAUUCUGGAACUGUAUGCAUCUGGAACUAUCAGUCCCAGAUCAUGGUCAAGUCUUUUGAGGUCACUGAAUUACCAGUUAGGUCAGCCAAGUUUAUUGUGCGGAAGCAAUGGGUCGUUGCUGGUGCUGAUGACAUGUUCAUUCGUGUCUACAAUUAUAACACAAUGGAUAAAAUAAAAGUCUUUGAGGCUCAUACAGAUUACAUUAGGUGUGUUGCAGUCCAUCCUACACUUCCAUAUGUUCUGUCAUCAUCCGAUGAUAUGCUCAUAAAGCUUUGGGAUUGGGAGAAGGGUUGGGUGUGCACGCAAAUUUUUGAGGGACACUCUCACUAUGUGAUGCAAGUAACAUUUAAUCCCAAAGACACCAACACCUUUGCAAGUGCUUCUCUUGACCGCACUAUUAAGAUUUGGAAUCUUGGCUCUCCUGACCCUAAUUUUACACUGGAUGCCCAUCAGAAGGGUGUAAAUUGUGUUGAUUACUUUACUGGCGGUGACAAACCCUAUCUAAUUACUGGUUCUGAUGAUCACACUGCUAAGGUGUGGGACUAUCAAACCAAAAGUUGCGUUCAGACACUUGAAGGUCAUACGCACAAUGUGUCUGCUGUUUGUUUCCAUCCAGAACUUCCUAUUAUUAUCACAGGUUCUGAGGAUGGGACUGUUCGUAUAUGGCAUGCAACUACUUAUAGGCUUGAGAACACCUUGAAUUAUGGUCUUGAGCGAGUUUGGGCUAUUGGAUAUAUCAAGGGUUCCCGACGGGUUGUGAUUGGUUAUGAUGAAGGAACCAUUAUGGUAAAACUUGGCCGGGAGGUACCUGUAGCUAGCAUGGAUAACACUGGUAAAAUCAUUUGGGCUAAGCACAAUGAAAUUCAAACAGGAAAUAUUAAGAGUGUGGGAGCAGACUAUGAGGUUACUGAUGGGGAGAGGUUGCCUUUGGCUGUCAAGGAAUUGGGGACCUGUGAUCUUUAUCCGCAAAGCUUAAAGCACAACCCCAAUGGACGAUUUGUUGUUGUAUGUGGAGAUGGUGAAUAUAUUAUCUAUACAGCUUUGGCAUGGAGGAAUAGGUCAUUUGGUUCAGCAUUGGAAAUCGUUUGGUCAUCUGAUGGAGAAUAUGCUGCUCGAGAGAGUACUUCAAAGAUAAAAAUUUUCUCAAAAAACUUCCAGGAAAAGAAGAGCAUCCGACCUACAUUUUCUGCAGAGCGUAUUUAUGGAGGAACUCUUUUAGCCAUGUGCUCAAACGAUUUUAUUUGCUUUUAUGAUUGGGCUGAGUGCCGGUUAAUUCGACGGAUUGAUGUAAAUGUGAAAAAUCUCUAUUGGGCUGAUAGUGGUGACCUAGUGGCAAUUUCCAGUGAUUCAGCAUUUUAUAUCCUGAAGUACAAUCUGGAUGUUGUUUCUUCUUAUCUUGAUAGUGGGAGAUCAGUUGAUGAACAAGGUGUUGAGGAUGCUUUUGAGCUUCUGCAUGAAACAAGUGAACGUGUUAGGACUGGCUUAUGGGUUGGGGAUUGUUUCAUUUAUAAUAAUUCCUCUUGGAGGCUAAAUUACUGUGUUGGUGGUGAGGUUACUACAAUGUUUCAUCUGGAUCGGCCUAUGUAUUUACUUGGAUAUCUUGCCAGUCACAGUCGAGUGUAUUUGAUUGACAAAGAAUUUAAUGUCGUAGGGUACACAUUACUUCUUAGCUUGAUUGAGUACAAGACACUUGUAAUGCGUGGAGAUUUAGAAAGAGCCAGUGAAAUAUUACCUUCAAUUCCCAAGGAGCAUCAUAAUAGUGUGGCUCGCUUUUUAGAAUCCCGAGGUAUGAUAGAAGAGGCACUGGAAGUAGCAACUGAUCCAGAUUAUAGAUUUGAGUUAGCGAUACAGCUUGGCAGAUUAGAUGUUGCACAGGAAAUUGCAACAACUGUGCAUAGUGAAUCCAAAUGGAAGCAACUUGGAGAAUUGGCCAUGUCUACUGGAAAGCUAGAAAUGGCAGAGGAAUGUCUAAAAUUUGCCAUGGACCUGAGUGGUCUGUUACUGCUAUAUUCUUCUUUAGGAGAUGCUGAAGGAAUAUCGAAGCUUGCUUCCCUUGCUAAAGAACAAGGAAAGAAUAAUGUUGCAUUCCUUUGUUUAUUUACAUUGGGUAAAUUAGAAGACUGCCUCCAGCUAUUGGUCGAAAGUAAUCGGAUACCUGAAGCUGCAUUAAUGGCUCGAUCUUAUCUUCCAAGUAAAGUGUCUGAGAUAGUUGCUAUUUGGAGAAAGGACUUGAACAAGGAGGUGGUGGUCUAUCAGCUUCAUAUCUCAUGCUUUAGCAAACUUAGAUGCAUGUACAUUUCAGUGGAUGAUGACAUGCAAGUUUGGCUCAAGUGGCAAUUUUUCAUGUCAUUGGGUAACAAUAUAGUGUUUUGGUUAAAAGCGGUAAAGUAAAGUAGUCACCGAGCUAUGUGAAAAUCAGAGUAUUGAGAGAAAAACCAUGAUUGCCUUUCUUAUUAAUUUCUCAUUUGAAAAAAGGAUACAAGAAGGAAGAUAAAUAGGUUACAACUUAUGCUAAAAAAGGAAAGGAUAUUAGGGCAAAUCCUUACUUGGGCCAAGUCCACUAAUUCUAACACUCCCCCUUAAGUUGAGACGUAGAUAUCAAUGAGACCCAACUUGCUAACACAAAAGUCAAAGUUAUGUUUGAGAUUCCCCUCGGUGAGAACAUCAGCAACCUGUAGGCUUGUGGGAAUGUAUGGAGUGCAUAUGCUAUGAUUGUCUAGUCUUUAUUUAAUGAAGUGUUGAUCAAUCUCCACAAGUUUAGUUUUAUCAUGUUGAUCUGGAUUGAUGGCAAUGUUAAUAGCUGUCUUGUUAUUACAAAAUAAUUUUAUCGGCACCUCACAGUCCUGAUGAAGAUCAGAUAAAACUUUCUGGAGCCAAAUUUCCUUACAUAUCCCCAAACUUAUAGCCUUGUACUCAACCUCAACAUUGCUUCUAGUCACAACCUUGUGCUUCUUACUCCUCCAAGUUACAAGAUUUCCCCAUACAAAGAUACAGUAACCGGAAUAGCUUUACCCAGUCAAAGUCAGUAUAGGCCUCAAUAGCUUUCCUGUUUGUCUUUUUGAACAUUAAUCAUUUACCAGAAGUUGUGUUCCUCAUAGGGAGCCUGCAUGAAAUGGCUAACGACACUCACAACAUAGGAAAUAUCUAGUCGAGUAUGAGACAAGAAAAUCAACUUACCAACAAGGCAUUGAUAUUGUUCUUUAUCAACAACUUUAUCACCUAAAUUUCUUAGUUUACAGUUGAAUUCAAUGAGAGUAUCAGCAAGGCAACAUCCAAACAUACCUCUCUCGGUUAACAAAUCAAGAGUAUACUUCCUCUGAGAUACAGAGAUACCUUCUUUAGAUCUAACUACCUCCAUCUCAAGGAAAUCUUUCAAAUUUCCCAAGUCUUUGAUUUCAAACUCAUCACCUAUUCUCUUUUUCAGUUCGAUGAUUUUAGCAGUGUCAUUCUAGAUAAAACGAUGUCAGCAACAUAAACAAUCAAUACUGCGAUCUUCCCAGCCUUGGAGACUUCUGUAAAAAAAGUAUGGUCAGAGUGCCCCUGACUGUAUCCUUGGGACUUGACAAAGAUAGUAAACCUAUCAAACCACUCUUGGUGUCUGUUUCAGUCAUAUAAAGACUUCUGAAGUUUACAAACCCGAUAACCAAAUUGGGCUUCAAACCCUAGGGGGGAACUCAUAUAAACUUCCUCUUUCAGGUCUCCAUUCAAGAACACAUUCUUAACAUCUAGUUGAUAUAAAGGUCAGUCUUUGUUCACAACAACACCAUAGGUCUAAGUAAACCCUUUUGCAACUAACCUCACCUUGGGUCUGUCAAGGGUUCCAUUUUGUAUUUGAUUGUGAACACUGAACACCCAUUUACAUCUCACAGUUUUAUGUCCCUUAGGGAGAGCAUAGAUUUCCCAAGUCUUAUUCUUUUCAAGGGCCUUCAUCUCUUCCAUAACAACAAUUUUCCAUUCAGACACUCUAAAACAAUGUGAAUAUUUUUCGGUAUCAUGGUAGGGUCAAAGCUAACUGUGAAGGCUCUAAACUGUAGAAAUAGAUUGUCAUAGGAAACAUAGUUACAAAUGGGGUGUUUCGUGCAGGACCUGACAUCUUUUCUCAGCUUAAUGGAAAUGUCCAAAGAAGGAUCGUACUGAUCAAGAUAACCUGAAUGACCUUAUUCAGCCUCAUUACCACCAGUUUUUGUUUUGAGCUCAGUUUCAUCAACAUUGUCCUUUUCUCCCAUAUCUUCAGGAGCAACAAUAUCAGACCUGCCAUUCUCACUAAUUUUACUAUCAACGCACGAUUAGUCAUACCUUAACCUCGAGGAGGUUCAGAGUCUUGCACCAGAGUCGGCUGAUCAGUAGGGGACUCAAUUUUCUUUCCGAGAUUUCUUAUAGUAAGUUUUCUUGGGAACUUGGUUUGUGGGUAGGACCAUGGGAUGGGGAUCAGAGUCAGGUAAGGUAAUAAAAGUAGACUCUAAGGUAUAGUUAAACUCUUCACUCACACUCUCCCGCUGAAGAUGACUAACGGGAAAGAAGUGUCGAUCCUCACAAAAUGUGACAUCUAUAGUGACAAAGUAUUUAUAGGAAGGAGGAUGAAAAUAUUUAUAGCCCGCUGAUGAAGAGGAUAUUCGACAAACCCACGUUUGAGCAUGAGGGGUAAAUUCGGCCUGAUUAGGGCCAAAGCUAUGAACAUAGGCUGUACACCUAAAAACACAAAGGGGAGCCUCAGAAGUUAGGCAAGUAGAGGGAUACGACUUCUUGAGACAAUCUAAGGGAGUCUGAAGGUGGAGGACACGAGAAGGCAUCCUAUUGAUGAGAUAAGUUGUAAUAAGAACAACAUCUCCCCACAGAUAUGAAGGAAGGAAAGUAGACAACAUAAGGGAAUGAGUUACUUCCAAAAGGUGACAAUUUUUCCGCUCGACAAUCCCAUUUUGUUGAGAGGUGUAAACAUAAUGAGCUAUAGUGAACUAUCCCCUUGGAGGCUAGGAACUCACCGAGGGUAUGGUUUUGAAACUCCUGACCAUUAUCACUUUGAAAAAUUGCAAUUUUGCAUUAAACAACGUUUCAAUGGGUGAUAAAAGUUCUGGAAAACGGAGGAAAUUUUAGAUUUAUCCUUAAAGGAGGUAAUGACCUUGAAUGGACCCCAAACGUGACUAUGGAUAAGGGUGAAUGGUUGGGUGAUUUAUAUGGUUGUGAGGGGAAGGAGACUUGAUGUUGUUUGGCUUAAAUACAUCCAUCACAAGAUAAAAAGGAGAGAUCAACUUUAGAGAAAUGGGGAAAUAAACACUUCAUAUAUGUAAAGUUUGGAUGACUCAACCGGAAAUGUGACAACAUACAAUCUUGUUCAAAAUUUGUAAAAUAUGAAGCUAAUAAACUAGUUCUAGAGAUACUACUUGCGGAGGUAUCAUCGUCAAGGAGAUAGAGUCCUCUACUAUGUCGGAUAGUGCCAAUCAUCCUUCCCGAGCUUAUGUCUUAAAAAGAAACAGAUUUAGUUAAGAAAGUAGCGUUGCAGUAUUCACGAGUGAUCUUGCUUAUAGGUAGCAAAUUCUAAGAAAUCUUAGGCAUGUGCAAAACAUUCUGGAGGGAUAGCCCUUCAAAAGGAAAAAUUUGUUCCUUCCCAACAAUUGAAGCUAAAGAACCAUCAGCUAUUCCAGCACACAAAAUAUAAGAAACAAAAUUCUCUGAGGAACCUGUCAAGUGAUCUGUAGCCCUGGAUUCUUCCCAUCAACACUAAUAAGACUAAGGGACUGAGACAUACCUGACUGAGCAAUGGCUCAUAGAGUGGAGGGUGGAUUGGGACCGUUCUGGUUUACAGUAGGGCCAGAUGGUUGAGAAGCGCCAACACACUCUCUCAUAUAAUCAUGGCCUGAAUUCUAUUUCUUAUUAAAGGAACGUUUCUUACCUUUGGGUGGACAACCAUGAAGUUUCCAACACUAAUCCUUAGUGUGUCACUAUUUCUUGUAGUGCUCACAGAUAGGGAUUGGUUUUCCGUUAUUCUUCUUACUGUUAUGAGUCGAGGAUCUAAUGCUGGAGGUAGCGGAGUGAGUAGCAGGAGUAGUCAGAACACUCAUGGCAUUUAUAUGGUCUUCUUCAAGACGGGCUUCAUAACACACUUCCAUUAAGGAGGGAAGAGGUCUCUGUCUAAGUAUACGACCAUGGACAAUGUCAAACUUAGGGUUGAGACUUGCAAGGAAGUCAUAAAUUCGAUAAGCUUCUUCAAGUCUAGCAUAUUAUAUACCAUCAUUUGGAGUAUGCCGUACUAUCUCUCUGCACAAGUCCAUCUCUUGCUAGACUAGAGAAAGUUUAUUGAAGUAGAAGGUUACAUCUAGGGUUCCUUGCUUGCAAUCAUGGACUUGUUUCCUCGAUGUAUACAAACGAGAAACGUUUUAAUGCUUUGAAUAGAGUUUCUGAGUUGUGUCCUAUAGAUCCUUCGCAAUUGCUGCAUAAAGCAGAAGUUUGCCUAUUUGUGGUUUCAUACUAUUAAUCAACAUGGGCUGAAUAAAGGAGUCCUCCUCUCUCCAAAAACGUUCCAGGGCAUUACCAAGUGGGGGAUGAAGAGUUUCCCUUGUUAGAAAAACAAAUUGGUUAUGUCCCUCAAGAAACAUCUUGAUCAAUUGAGACCAGGAAAAGUAAUUCUGGCCAUUUAGCUUCUCUUUUGGAAAGGCACUUGUAGAUGGUGUCAGAGAACUCGUUAUAUAAUUUGAGGAUUAGUUAGGGAGCGAAGUUACUGGGUUCUUGGAAUACAUCGGCAAGUCGGUUGUUGCAUUGAAAAUUCACCAACUUCAAACCUUGAUUUAUAUGGACUUGAUUGAUCCCGGUACCAUGGACAUGCGACUACUGUAAAGAGUCAAAGGACAGUUGUGCGUGAAACGAUGAUAGUCCAUAAACCGAGGGCCAUGGCAGCGUGGGGAGGUGCAACUGACCAAAAGAGUAUUGUGACUGAACUUGGGAAGAUAGGUGGGAGUGGACCAGUUGAGCAAUGGAGGUGUUGGAUGGUGGUGCGUGAGGGUACGCGCCUGGCAGCGGUGACGUACAUGGUUAAUGGAAGCGCGUGCAGGUGGUUUCCACUGCUGGGCUGUGUGGCUGACUCCGAGGGUAGGCCCACCAUGCCUGCCCACGUCUUUUGAAGCUGGUGGAGCAACUUUUCCAUGGUCAAUCCAAAGGCAGCUGAUUCACUAGCUGAUCCCGAAGAGUAUCCUAAUCUGUUUGAUGAUUGGCAACUAGCUGUUUCUGUUGAAUCUAAGUUUUCAGAGACCAGGGGUGUUUAUCCUUCUGCGUUGGAGUAUGCUAAUCAAGCUGAU